AUAGCAUAUAUUAAAGUUGUUGCAGUUAAAAAGCUCGUAGUUGGACUUCUGGGGGAGAGCCAAUGUCCGCCUGAUGGCGUGUGCAGCGGCACUCCCCCAUCCUUGGGUUAACCCUUCUUGGUAUUGAUUUACUGGUUGGGAGCUCCCAUAGUUUACCUUGAGAAAAUUAGAGUGUUUCAGGCAGGCUUGGCCCCGGAAUACAUUAGCAUGGAAUAAUAGAAUAGGACUAUAGUCUCCUUUGUUGGUUUGAGGGACUAAAGUAAUGAUUAAUAGGGAUAGUUGGGGGCAUUAGUAUUUAAUUGUCAGAGGUGAAAUUCUCGGAUUUGUUAAAGACUAACUUAUG
rnacentral:rRNA from 1 species